rnacentral:rRNA from 1 species
GACGAACGCUGGCGGCGUGCUUAACACAUGCAAGUCGAACGGAAAGGCCCUUCGGGGUACUCGAGUGGCGAACGGGUGAGUAACACGUGGGUGAUCUGCCCUGCACUUUGGGAUAAGCCUGGGAAACUGGGUCUAAUACCGAAUAGGACCACGCGCUUCAUGGUGUGUGGUGGAAAGCUUUUGCGGUGUGGGAUGGGCCCGCGGCCUAUCAGCUUGUUGGUGGGGUAAUGGCCUACCAAGGCGACGACGGGUAGCCGGCCUGAGAGGGUGACCGGCCACCCUGGGACUGAGAGACGGACCAGACUGCUACGGGAGGCAGCAGUGGGGAAUAUUGCACAAUGGGCGCAAGCCUGAUGCAGCGACGCCGCGUGAGGGAUGACGGCCUUCGGGUUGUAAACCUCUUUCAAUAGGGACGAAGCGCAAGUGACGGUACCUAUAGAAGAAGCACCGGCCAACUACGUG